rnacentral:rRNA from 1 species
UACGUAGGGGGCAAGCGUUGUCCGGAUUCAUUGGGCGUAAAGGGUGCGUAGGCGGCGCGGUAAGUCGGGUGUGAAAUCUCGGGGCUUAACUCCGAAACUGCAUUCGAUACUGCCGUGCUUGAGGACUGGAGAGGAGACUGGAAUUUACGGUGUAGCGGUGAAAUGCGUAGAUAUCGUAAGGAAGACCAGUGGCGAAGGCGGGUCUCUGGACAGUUCCUGACGCUGAGGCACGAAGGCCAGGGGAGCAAACGGG